AUGUGGUAUUUAUCGAUCCUUAUAUUAGAAAGACAAAAUCAAAUGAAUAUCUCAAUGCUUCAUUGUCACAAAAGAAACGGAAACGAAAUAAAUUUUCAAUCCGUAUAAAUCUUCAGAAAAAGAUUUGGGUGCAUCCUAAAUUCAGGGCUAGAUUCAGAAAACAAAAAGAGCACCAAGAUUCUCUCAAUUAAUCACAGGAUGUUUUGUAGCACAAACAAUUCUCAUAGAAGCAUGUCUGGUGCCCAACAAGUGUUUGUGUUCGACACAUGCAAUUACAUGUAAGUGUCGAGUCCGGUGUCAUGCUUGAUAGGGAGGAUGGUUUUUCAUAUGGUUCAUAAUGUCGAAUUUUGAAACCACUGAAUUUUUAAUCAUAGUUUGCAAGUGCUGUAGUUCAAUUAAUAGACUGUCAUAUUGUAAAUUUUAGCCACUUUCAUAGAGAAGAAUGAAGGAUUUUCUAAGAUUGUCCCAAACGUGUAUGUUAAAAAUGAAACUCAAGUGCAUUGCAGAGUGGUAAACUUUUAUAUCAAAUUCUUAAUUAUAUGAGAAGAGUUGGGAAUAAAAGAAACUCAU
rnacentral:lncRNA from 1 species